rnacentral:piRNA from 1 species
UAUGAUCUAUGACUUUGAACUUUGCCUAAGG